GAGUUUGAUCCUGGCUCAGAACGAACGCUGGCGGCGCGCCUAAUACAUGCAAGUCGAGCGAGAAGACGUAGCAAUACGUUUGUAAAGCGGCGAACGGGUGAGGAAUACAUGGGUAACCUACCCUCGAGUGGGGAAUAACUAGCCGAAAGGUUAGCUAAUACCGCGUACGCUUCUUGGACUUCGGUUCAGGGAGGAAAGCGAUACCGUGGGUAUCGCGCUCUUGGAUGGGCUCAUGUCCUAUCAGCUUGUUGGUGAGGUAACGGCUCACCAAGGCUUCGACGGGUAGCUGGUCUGAGAGGACGAUCAGCCACACUGGCACUGCGACACGGGCCAGACUCCUACGGGAGGCAGCAGUAAGGAAUAUUGCGCAAUGGGCGAAAGCCUGACGCAGCGACGCCGCGUGGGGGAUGAAGGUCUUCGGAUUGUAAACCCCUUUCGGGAGGGAAGAUGGAAUGGGGUAACCCAUUCGGACGGUACCUCCAGAAGCAGCCACGGCUAACUUCGUGCCAGCAGCCGCGGUA
rnacentral:rRNA from 1 species